rnacentral:rRNA from 1 species
AAAAUUUUAAAGGUCGAACAGACCUAAUAUUCUUAGCUUCUACACCAAAAAUUAAUUUUAAUCCAACAUCGAGGUCGCAAACCCUUCUUUCGAUUAGAACUCUCAAGAAAGAUUACGCUGUUAUCCCUAAGGUAAUUUUAUCUUAUAAUCAAAAAAAUUGGAUCAAUAACUCAUUAAUCAAUGUAGCAAUAAAAAAAAAGUUAAUUAAAUUUUUCAAUCUCCCCAACUAAAUAGAUUUUAAAAUACAAAGUAAUAAUUCUAAAAAUUUAUACAAUAAAAAAUAUUAAACUCUAUAGGGUCUUCUCGUCUUUUAAUAACAUUUAAGCUUUUUUACUUAAAAAUAAAAUUCUAGAUAUUAAAUAGAGACAGUUAUUUUCUUGUUCAGCCUUUCAUUCCAGCUUUCAAUUAAAAAACUAAUGAUUAUGCUACCUUUGCACGGUCAGUGUACCGCGGCCAUUUAAAUACUCAGUGGGCAGGCUAGACCUUAAAUUAUAAUCAAAAGGCC